GGGGGGGUGUUGGGGUGUGGGGGUGUGAGACAGUGACGUGUCCACCAUUUGCAUACAUCGGAGUAUAACCACUCGCCCUCAGACUCCGCCGCUCAGUCCGGAGCCGCUUUUUUUUGUAGUUCGAAGUUAAAACGAUCGCCCACUGAGAAGAUGUCUGACGCUGAGAAGCCCAAAGCCAACAUGGAUGAGGUACUCUCAUUCGAUAAGGGGCAGCUGAAGAAUGCAGAAACGAAAGACUCGAUCAGAGUGCCCACCGCUGAAGAAAUCAAAGAGGAAAAGAAAGCUUUGGAGGAAGAAGCUAAAAAAUGAAACUUCUUCAGUUUGCACUCUACAUUCCACAUCAUGUUCUAUUCCAUUUUUAUCAGCUGUAUAUCUUUGUAAAAAAAUAAUAAUCUGGAUGCAGUGUGAAGAGCUGAAGAGUGGUUCCAAUCUCACCUGAAUUCCAUGAAAUGACAACAGAUAAGGCUACAGAUGAAGCUUCAGCUAAAUGAGUGUUGUCCAUCUAUCUAUGGCUUUGAUCCUAGCAGCACUUGACAGCUUGCAUGUCAAAGAAGAAGCCAGACAAGACUACAGGAAUCCUUUGAAAAACCAAACUCUUAUGAAUGAUACAAAGAUGUACAGAGAUCCUGUGUCCACUUAAAUCAAAUGUAUAGAGUGCAUCUUGCUAUACUUGUGCCUCUUGGUAUGCAAAUUGUUUUUGAUAUGCAAAUAAAAAUGAUUUGAAAAAUCUUAA